rnacentral:rRNA from 1 species
AGAGUUUGAUCAUGGCUCAGGACGAACGCUGGCGGCGCGCUUAACACAUGCAAGUCGAGCGAGAACCAGUCCUUCGGGACUGGGGAAAGCGGCGAACGGGUGAGUAACACGUGGGUAAUCUGCCCUCGGCACUGGGAUAGCCCGGGGAAACCCGGAUUAAUACCGGAUAGCCUUUCGAGCCUUCGGGCUCGUCAGAAAAGGUGGCUUCGGCUUCCGGCUGAGGAUGAGCCCGCGGCGGAUUAGCUUGUUGGUGGGGUAAUGGCCCACCAAGGCGACGAUCCGUAGCUGGUCUGAGAGGACGAUCAGCCACACUGGGACUGAGACACGGCCCAGACUCCUACGGGAGGCAGCAGUGGGGAAUCUUGCGCAAUGGGCGAAAGCCUGACGCAGCGACGCCGCGUGCGGGAAGAAGGCCUUCGGGUUGUAAACCGCUUUCAGGAGGGACGAAGCCACUCGGGUUAAUAGCCCAGAGGGUGACGGUACCUCCAGAAGAAGCCCCGGCUAACUACGUGCCAGCAGCGGCGGUAAUAC